GACGAACGCUGGCGGCGUGCUUAACACAUGCAAGUCGAACGGUAAGGCCCUUCGGGGUACACGAGUGGCGAACGGGUGAGUAACACGUGGGUGAUCUGCCCUGCACUUCGGGAUAAGCCUGGGAAACUGGGUCUAAUACCGGAUAGGACCACUGCCUGCAUGGGCGGUGGUGGAAAGCUUUUGCGGUGUGGGAUGGGCCCGCGGCCGAUCAGCUUGUUGGUGGGGUGAUGGCCUACCAAGGCGACGACGGGUAGCCGGCCUGAGAGGGUGACCGGCCACACUGGGACUGAGAUACGGCCCAGACUCCUACGGGAGGCAGCAGUGGGGAAUAUUGCACAAUGGGCGCAAGCCUGAUGCAGCGACGCCGCGUGAGGGAUGACGGCCUUCGGGUUGUAAACCUCUUUCAGCACCGACGAAGCGCAAGUGACGGUAGGUGCAGAAGAAGGACCGGCCAACUACGUGCCAGCCGCCGCCGUAA
rnacentral:rRNA from 1 species